AUCUCUGUCCUAAGAAGACAGUCUCCUGUGAUGGGCCUCAAGUGAUGAUCCAUGACUAAGGACGACUGCCUUCAAUUUCCCGUGCUAGGUGGUGGGUGGACAAUAACCUGGAGUAGCACGUGCAGUGGCGUGCGGUGCUCCGUAUGAGUCAGAACAUCGAAACCCAAAUUCCAGAAGAGGUAUUGAGGGGGUGGAAGGAUGGCAAGACCAAAAUAAUGACCAAUUCUCUUGAGAUACCAGCAUCUUGGCAGCAGGAUUUCAUUAUUACAUGGACCCCUAUUUCUUUUUGUAAAGGUAGUGGGACAAAGGGGGACAGAGGGCAGGGGAAAUAGCCCAUUUUUCCUUUAGGGAGGUGGUUUCUUGUUGAGCUGUCUGACUCCAAAAGUCAACUGUCCAGGGCUGCAAAGAACUGAGGCGAACCCCCAGAGAGGAAGCCCCUCUGAUAAAGGCAGUGUGAGUUCUCUUCCUCUGUUACCCCCCCCGGGGGGCAGGGGAGGGCAAGGAACUGGAUGAUGUGGGGUGGGGAGUCCUUAACCCAUUACUCUUGUGUAAUUUGCAACCUCUCAGAGUGGUUACAAAUGGAGAUGGAAACCACACUCCUGGAGCCUCUGGGCCCGUGGGUGGUAACUGUGGGUUGCUGAAGUAUAACAGUCUCCUUGAUGAACUGCCAAUCUGUGAGCUCAUUAUUACCACACAAAUGCAAGAUCGGAAUUCCAUUGAAAUUGGUUCACUCCACUACAGGGGAGGAAAGGAGAGGGGGUCAACUCAAGUAAAGCAGUCACUGGAGCACGGUUGGCCCAUUAAUUAUGAGGUGGAUAAAGACGUCUGGGGCCAAACCCCCUCCCCACGCUUCCCUGGUUAUGUUAGGAGCCUGUGGGCUGACCUAGAGAAGCCUAGCCACAGACUGGAUCGUUGGGGAUCUGUUGAACAGAGCUUGGGCCUCCGUUACCGGUGACAGGGUAAAAAACCAGUCCAGACUGAGAGGGGAAAAGUCAGCUCUCUACCCUGUCAUUCAUCAGACUGCCGGAGCAGACACUGAUAAAGCUGCAAAGGUAACAGGAAGCCAUCAGCCUACAGUAUCAUAAUCAGUCUUUUCUUUGAGUGACUACUGCUUUCUUUUCAGUGACAGCCCCAGCUUUGCUUUUUACUCCUGCCACCUGAACCAAAUCACUGUCAAGCUUUGUGACUAAAAUCUUGGGCUGUCAAAACUUUGCAGUUUGCAAUCCUAUCAGUAAGAACGAAACUUUCCACUCUUGCCUGGAAGACCUGAGCCGUAUGAGUCACUUUGACACAGAGAAGCGGUUUCAAUUUCUACCCUAGAUUUAGAAAUCCUGAUAAGGACUUUCUGCCACAACAGGCCAUGCUUUUCUUAACUUUGCAGUUCUCCAAAGAAUAAGGACCUGGGUCCACUUCCCAGUCCAGGCUUGAUCUUGACCCCUU